GGGAUGGCGCUCAAAGGCUGAUGGCCGAGUACAAGCAACUAACCCUGAAUCUUCCAGAAGGAAUUGUGACAGGCCCCAUGAAUGAAGAGAAUUUUUUUGAAUGGGAGGCGUUGAUCAUGGGCCACGAAGAUACCUGUUUUGAGUUUGGUGUUUUUCCUGCCAUCUUGAGUUUCCCACUUGACUACCCACUGAGUCAUCCCAGGAUGAGGUUCACCUGUGAGAUGUUCCAUCCCAACAUUUACCCAGAUGGCAGAGUCUGCAUCUCCAUCCUCCAUGCGCCAGGCAAUGACCCCAUGGGCUAUGAGAGCAGUGCUGAGAGGUGGAGCCCCGUGCAGAGUGUGGAGAAGAUCCUGCUGUCGUGGUGAACAUGCUGGCAGAGCCCAACGAUGAAAUUGGAGCUAAUGUGGAUGCUUCCAAGAUGUGGCGGGACCACUGGGAGCAGUUUUACAGGAUUGCCAGGCAGAUCGUGCAGAAGUCUCUGGGGAUCUGA